rnacentral:lncRNA from 1 species
UGAGUCUCCUGCCAGCUUUACUCAGAUGUCCAAAUUGCUGAUACUCCUUGGCAUUGUGGUUCUGCCAGUGUCAGGAGAAUGGAAAGAAAGAGUUUUUUCCUGUAAUGGAAUUUUCAGAUUACUGUAUGUAUUCUGGCUGGGCUUCAAAAUGAAGAGUGGGUGGAAAACAAAAAGACUUUUACAGUCCUAUUGCAGAGAGGUGCCAGGGGCUGGCAACAUAAAAACACAGCUUUUUAAAAAAGUCAGAAUCCCUGAAGAAAACUAAAUGUUUAAUUCUCAGGCUUGAGGAUCUCCUGAUGCUGCAAGUAAUGCAAUGUUUUUAUCUGUGUUUGGGGGACAGUGGUGGCCUCACUGAGUUUUUGUCUAGGAGGACACUUACCAAGGAAGAGCUCCACCAGGUUCAGAGCCUGCAUGGAGGGUUCCUAGCUCAUAAACUGAGGAGGACAUAAACUUAGGAGUUUAUGUCCUCAGUUAAGAGUUCCAAAGAGGAACACCAAAUUGGGAAAGGACUACUAAUUAUUUCUUGAAACAUGCCCUUUUAUUAGGAUUGAGUAUUUCAAAACAUUGGGCAUAAAAAGGAGAAAUAAAAUGCAUGCUUGAUGGAGAGAAGUUUGGAGCCACUGGGAUAACAAAAGUGAAAUCUUCAGAAGAAUUGAAGAGAACAGCAAGUUGGACUAGAAAAUCAGCAAUAUGAUUUCCUGCAUUGAGCCCCGAAACCACCAGUGAGAGUUGGAGGAUACCUUGGCAAUCUUGGAAGAACCAUACAUGAUCUCCUGCCCAGCAAUUUACUCUUAAAAAGGUGGCUGGAGCUAAAG